GAAACAGGACAGAGCAGGAUGCUGACAUGAUGGGAUAUUUCUUCAUCAAGCAAACAAGUUACAGUGACACUUUGUUAUAAAGUAAAUUUAUGUCAUAGUCUUUGAUUUUGUUUGUUUGCUUUCUGCCUUUGCCUUUUCCCCGUCUUACAUAAUUACCAUUCUACUUAUCUAAGACAAUUUUAUGUUCUUUUGGGGGGAAUUAAUCCUAAUUUCUACCUGCUACACCAAAGUAAUUUCUCAGCUUUGGGAUAUACAUCAACCUGUGCUGUAUUACUGAUCUCCCCAUUCUCCCCUGUCUGUCUUGUUCCCUCAGCAGCUCUUCUACUUUGAUAGUCACAUUUCAGUGGUUUUUAUUCAGUUUUUCUUUGGUUUAGUUUUUAUCAUCCUAAGGGCUUUUGCCUGUGUUUCAUCUUGGGGCCUGUUCCAGAAAGCAGGCUUAGUCAAAGAGAGGGUUAUUUAAACUCUGGGUCAGUUACCAUGGCAACAGACUCUGUGAACCUAACCCUCUUGCUGGUAGAAUUUGUACAACAAACCUCCCCUCCUGCUAACUUCGCGUAUACCAAACAUAUACCAGAACAAAUUAAUCUGCAGGAGUUUACAUUCUUAAGGAAAGAAGAAUACUGGUCUUCACUUAUCUACAAUAAGAAUUUCUUGCUGUGGCAAAGCCGGCCAGCUGCUCUCGCAUCAAACCAGAAAUAGUCUGCAGGGUACUGAGUUAUUCCUCUUUGAAGAUGUUCCCAAAAUACUGUGACAUGUGACAAAUCCACCCAGGCCUCUGAGGUGCACGAGCUUGGGGCUCCAAGAACGCAGCAGCUCACACUUCCUGCAUGAUUGUGCAUAUUUAAGAAAGGAAACUGAUGCAGAAAAGCUUGGAAAUCAGUUCGUCCCUUUCUCUUUUACAUGUUUCAUUACAAAGUAUGCUCUGUCACAACUUCAGCAGUCAUCUCCUGAAUGAUGACUGCAGAUUCCUUCAUGACAAAGUAUUUUUUUCGUGAAAUUAUUAAAAUAAACUGAACUCAUAUCACUUGUCCUUUGCCACAAGAAUUUAAGGCAAUGCUUCUAAGAAGCACAAUAGUGAGUUUUCUGGAUGAGUUCCAGCGUACAGGACAGGUCCCGAAGGCACAGAGGAAUGUAAUGAUAAAACAGCCGUUAAUGAAAAAUGUGGGAAAGGCAGCACUUAACCCUUUAAGGUCAAGGAGUCUAUUUUUAUUCAAAUGAACGCCGCAGAGUCUGCAUUUUCAGUCUCUGGCUAAAGGUAUAAAAUAAUCAGGCAAAGAGAUAAAAAAAACCUGCUGCAACAGUAACUGAGUUUAAGUUUAACAAUUUGGGAAGCUAUUGACUAGUAUGCUUAUUUAGCGUCUGGAAGUGACGACUUGUUUGUUGUGGCUUCUUGACUAAGACUUCUUGUUCCAGUCGCCAGUCACAGUUUAUAAAUGACGACCAUUUUUAGGGCAUUUGAGUAAAGGCCCAGUGAGCUUAUACCAUGGCAACGUGUCAAUCUACAAUUCAUUUCACACAUUACAAUAACCUGUGAAGUGUGAUGGACUGUGAGGUGGAGCCACAUGACUGAUGUUCUGUUUUAAACUAACUAAAAAUUUAAAUUGUCAGAUGUCUUUUAGAUUAGAUUUCACUCAAUGCAACCCCUCAGCUGAAACUACACAAAUAUUUAGUGAGAUUCCAAUAUAUCAGCAAAUACUUACAAAGUAAGUACAUAAACAGAUUUUCCUAAUAUUGAUUAUGUGGUUGGUUUGGUUAUGUUUCCAACAGUGAAGUCGCAGAGAGCUCUCUGGUAGACAAACAAUGCAAUGCCAAUACUCAUAACAUGGUUUUCCCCUGUCUUUAUUACUUUGUUAUUUAUCAGCUGCUAUAGAAGCCGAUACUGAGUGAAUAUGUCUGGCGUAUCAUUCGUUCUAUUGGUGUAAAGUCUGCAGAGUUCAGUUCAGCAUCUUCUACUACAAAGCUGUGCUGUUGUAAUAUCUGCAGUAUGCAGUGUUUUGUCUUUCUAAAAUAAGUAAGGCCUUCUCUGAAAAAGAUGUAAUCUGGGUGGGUACACGUGUUGCUCUGAAUCCUGUAGAUACAGCAUUUGUGGUGCGUUUCCAGAUCUGCAAGCUUCCAAUUCAAUAUUCCCUAAUGCACCCCUAUAAUACCAGAGGCAGGCUUUUAAAACAA